UACGUAGGGGGACUAGCGUUGUCCGGAUUUAUUGGGCGUAAAGAGCGUGUAGGCGGCCAGGUAGGUCUGCUGUGAAAACUCGAGGCUCAACCUCGAGACGUCGGCGGAAACCAUCUGGCUAGAGUCCGGAAGAGGAGAGUGGAAUUCCUGGUGUAGCGGUGAAAUGCGCAGAUAUCAGGAAGAACACCCGUGGCGAAGGCGGCUCUCUGGGACGGUACUGACGCUGAGACGCGAAAGCGUGGGGAGCGAACAGG
rnacentral:rRNA from 1 species